rnacentral:rRNA from 1 species
GUACUGAGACACGGACCAGACUCCUACGGGAGGCAGCAGUGAGGAAUAUUGGACAAUGGGAGCAAUCCUGAUCCAGCCAUGCCGCGUGCAGGAAGACUGCCCUAUGGGUUGUAAACUGCUUUUAUACAGGAAGAAAAAGGUGUACGUGUACACUGUUGACGGUACUGUAAGAAUAAGGAUUGGCUAACUCCGUGCCAGCAGCCGCGGUAAUACGGAGGAUCCAAGCGUUAUCCGGAAUCAUUGGGUUUAAAGGGUCCGUAGGCGGGAUAAUAAGUCAGUGGUGAAAGUCUGCAGCUCAACUGUAGAAUUGCCAUUGAUACUGUUGUUCUUGAGUUAUUGUGAAGUGGUUAGAAUGAGUAGUGUAGCGGUGAAAUGCAUAGAUAUUACUCAGAAUACCGAUUGCGAAGGCAGAUCACUAACAAUACACUGACGCUGAUGGACGAAAGCGUAGGUAGCGAACAGGAUUAGAUACCCUGGUAGUCUACGCCGUAAACGAUGGUUACUAGCUGUUCGGGUUAAUUGAGACCUGAGUGGCUAAGCGAAAGUGAUAAGUAACCCACCUGGGGAGUACGUUCGCAAGAAUGAAACUCAAAGGAAUUGACGG